AUUGAACGCUGGCGGCAGGCCUAACACAUGCAAGUCGAACGAGUGGCGGACGGGUGAGUAAUGUCUGGGAAACUGCCUGAUGGAGGGGGAUAACUACUGGAAACGGUAGCUAAUACCGCAUACCAUCUGAUGUGCCCAGUUGGGUUGAGCUAGGUGGUGGGGUAACGGCUCACCAGGGCGACGAUCCCUAGCUGGUCUGAGAGGAUGACCAGCCACACUGGAACUGAGACACGGUCCAGACUCCCACGGGAGGCAGAAGGGGGGAAUAGUGCACAAUGGGCGCAAGCCUGAUGCAGCCAUGCGGCGUGUAUGAAGAAGGCCUUGGGGGUGUAAAGUACUUUAAGCGGGGAGGCGUUAACCGCAGAAGAAGCCCCGGCUAACUCCGUGCCAGCAGCCGCGGUAAUUC
rnacentral:rRNA from 1 species